rnacentral:lncRNA from 1 species
AGAGGAGGGGCUUUGUGAGGCUGGGAUUUAGAGAUAGAUAGUGGACUCCUGCUUUGGUACAAUGUGUCCUCCUCCAGAGGACACCCACUGUUGCAACUACAUAAUAAAUUGGGCUUUUAACUUCAUCCCUCCUGAGCCUGAAUGAAUUAUUUUUAGUUUAUUUUAGUUUAUUUUUUUAUUUUUUAGUUCAUUAUUUCUCACAAUUCCUUGGCAUCGUCCAGAAUACCAAGCAUCGAGGCGGAGAGGCGGUCACCAAAAGGUGGGGAGGUGCACCCCACUGUGAAGCUCUGCCUUCUGAAGACUCUGCCCUUCCCCGGGAUAAGCGCGGACAAGAGGAGGAGGAGGAAGAGAUGUCACCUGAGCUCCUGACAUCUGUUUACCAGGUGAGUUUGUUUCUUCUGUCUCUUGAAAUACCAUCUAAAGCCUCCAAGCAUGGAAACGUUUCCUUUAAAC